rnacentral:rRNA from 1 species
UCGCCUGUUUAUCAAAAACAUCACCUAAUAAUUAGGCUAUACCUGCUCAAUGAAUAUUAUUUAAUAGCCAAACUAUGCUAAGGUAGCAUAAUAAUUUGCUUUAUAAUUAAAAGAUGGAAUGAAUGGUAUCACUAAAAGUGUUUAUUUUAUUAUUAAAUUAAAUUUUUUUAAAGUUGAAAAUUACUUUAUUAGCUUUUAAGACGAUAAGACCCUAUGAAGCUUUAUUAAAAUACAAAACUAUGAGUCAGCAAAUUAAUUUUUUUGGGGCAAAAAAAAACUUUUUUAUUUUUUUUUAGUCAGGUGCAGAUCUUUUUGAAUUACAAGAAAAAGCUACUCUAGGGAUAACAGCAUAAUUUUUAUAAAAGUUCUUAUUAAAAUAAAAGUUUGUGACCNCGAUGUUGA